UCAAACAUGAAAAACUUCCCAAAGAUUAGUCUUUGUUCCAUCAUUUCAAGGCCAUCCACUUUAAAUCAGGGGAAGAGAACCGAUUCCGGCUGGGGAGCCAGACCAUUAUCUCUCCAAACCUUGGGACAUCAGGGCCAGCUCGCCCAUGAGGCAACUUGAAGCAGCCGCCUCAGGCAGCAGAAACCCAAGAGACAGUGCUCCCUCUGCCCCACAGCAGAAGUGGUGCUGGCAAGAUCUGGGAAGAUCUUGCAAGAUUUCAGUGAAUUCUCGCUGGGAACUGCUGUCAUUUUGCAGCAGCCGCUGUGAAACCCAGGACGUGUCACCUGAUUUCCCACCACCCUCAUCCUGGGCCCUGCUCAAAGCAGGUCGCCUCAACCUGCUGCCAUACUAGGACUGACCUGGCAUGCUCAAUAGACAAAAGUGGAAGUUGCAUGCCUUUGGUGUCCAGAAGCCUAUUUUCUUCAUAUAAAAUGCAACACGGCACGAGCCCCUGAGAAGCCAAGGAGUUAACUCUCUCUGCAGGUGCUGUCCAUGUGAAGCCUCGGCAAACAGGCCCGUCACUGUUCAGGCCCUGGAAGUGGGCCUAGAAAUGCAGGCAGCUGAGGGGACAGCUGCAACUUGCGAAGUCUUGGCCUGGCGAUAAUGGGAAAGCAAGGAGAAAGAAAAAUCCUCUGUGGCUUUCUUGGCUCGCGGCCUGCCAACGGCCGCCGCAGAGUGACAGUGAGCAAUGUGCCCACACUGCAGCAGGAAGAGGCCUUUGGCGUUCUGCAGCGGCGACUCAACGCUUCGUUCCCAUUUUGAGUUGGCAUCGCUCCCUUUUUCCUUGUGGCUUUAUGUGAGAGCAGAAAACCGAAUCCUCGCCAGCAAGCCAGGACUGCUUAUCUGGCAGAGCAAGGACAGCCUUUGUCGCCUCUUAUUCUCUCGCAAUCAUUAGGACUGCCAGGAGCAUUGGAGCUUUGCAGUGUGGAUGGCAGAGAUCUGCACAGUACUUGCUUCCGAAUGCUACCAUCGAGGUAGAGCAGAUUCUCCACCAGGUGAAUAUUUUGUAACAUAGGAAUGCAGAACCUGUGGCCCAGCAGAGCUUAGUCGACGCCACCUCCCACCUGCACGGCCAGUUGCUGAGGAUGAAGGUAGUUGUAGCCCACCCAAAUCUGGAAACCUGUUGGUUCCCCCAACCCUCCUGCAAGAUGUGCUCUGGGGUGUGUUGGGGGAGAUGCUUUGAAAAGCACUCCAGGCUGAUGGGAAGAGUGUCAAGGCUCAACAACUUUUGGGCUGUCCUGGUUUUUACUUUUUGAAACACGGCAACUGUAGUUUAGGCGCUUACUUGAGGCUGGCUCGGGCCUGCAAUGUGACACGGCCUAAAGUUUUGGGUGUGCCAGGAGAGCCACAUUUGGUCUGUGGACCAGACCCUCCCCAUCUCUGCUGUAGGAGUUCCACAUUUACCCAUAUGACUGCAUACGCCCAUUGAGCUGUUCUGCCCCUCCAAAGCAGUUCUGAGGCCGCCUCCCAGCUCAAAUCACAGAAAUGUCUUUCCUAAGCUAGCAGACGGCAAGAAGUGGGGAUUCAUCUUGGAAGUGCCACAGCCAGGUGAAGCCCAACAGGUGGGCAUUUUUGCUAGCAGACGUCAGCACCCUUCCAUCUUCUCAAACUCUUCCCCGAUCCCAAUCCCCUCCCCAGUGCCAUUACAAACCACAACGGAGUGAUGUUUAUAAAUUUUUAUUUUCUUUUUUUAAAAAAUAAGGUUGUAUUCAUUUCUUGGAAUGGUGUACGUGUGUACUUGUUUCCUUAGGUUAAGUAAGUUAAGUUAUUAGGCAGAGAACCAACAAUGUGAAACAGUUUCCCAGGGAGCCGCCGGGAAAGCGACACAGGAGUGUCACAGCUGGGAGGGAGGGGAGAGGGCGCCCUAGGAACAGAAGGAGCCUGGGGGGCAAGGUCUCGCCCAAGUUGAGCUCUUUAAAGUCCCAGAACUAUUUCGGUGGAAGGAAGUGUUUAAACUUUCCCAUUGGAACCAACUGGACAGCUUUUGCCAACAUGGCCCCCUCCGAAUGUCCUGGACUCCCAUCAGGCCCACGCAGGGUCUGAUGGGAACUGUAGUCCAAAGUGGAUAUCCGGAGGGCACGAGACUAGCAAAGGCCGCAGUAGGAUUUCAACUUGGGCAGGCUUGCCCCCGCUGGUGUUCCAGCGCCCACCAUAUGCACACACAUACGUUCUAACACUUUUUUUGUUGUUUCAUUUUUAAUCGUCUAGAAUUACCGAGAUACACUUGCAGCACUGAAAUAUACAAACUGAAAUCAAAGCACUUGAACACGAUGUUUAACGCUAUAAAGUUCAGAAGUUAUUAUUGCACAUAAGACUUAAAUAUGUUAUCAGGCUAUAGGCGAGUUUGUUUCUCGAUUCUGGUUUGUUAAGCGUAAAAUGCUGUUGGUUUUUUUCCCCUUUCAAAAAAAAAAUCAACUCAUUUUAACACUUUAAAAAUACACAUUCUUUCCAUCAACACUGAGCUGAGAUUCAAUACAGAGAAGAGAGAAAGGUUUAAUAGAGUGGACUAGACAGAGCUACUUUCAUUUGUUCGGUGUGGGGAGACUUGCGAUAAAUGUGUAGAAAUGAUCUAUUUGAGAUUUGUACACUAAAGGGAAGAAGAGGGGUGUGUUUGUGUACAGGGCAAAUUUCAAAAGCAGCACACCUGUGAGCCUAACUCCCCCAGUAACUAACACAAUUGUCUUGAUACAACAUGAAGGGAAUCCCUUAUGUAGAAGCAGACACACUACAGCCAAUGUGGAUGAGUGUUUUGAUCCACAUCUCAGGGCUCAUCUGGAACUUAAUGGACUUGCAGGUUUCAGUUGUUGGUGCAGACUGGGAUGCACACCUCUGGCUGUUGCACAAAAUGAGUGCUGGAUAUGGAAGUCACUUCCAACUGAACUCACUUCUGAAGUGUGCUUAAGGGAACUGCAACCUUUGGCUGCCAUCUUCAAGUCACAUGCUCUACACGACGUUUGUGCAUGAAAGCAUCAGAACAGGAACACAUCCCAAUGGCCAUUGGCCAACUUUUGAGGAGGUGGUUCAAGAACUGCAGCCUACGCUCCACAUUUUAAAAUGAAUUGAAGUCACUUCUGAAUAUAAGAACCUUUGGAUGAAAUGGAUAGCUGCAGUCUUAGGAGUUUAAUGCAUUGCAAAGAUUUCCUUCCCUUGGAUGUUAAUUCUUUUCAGCUGUACUCUGGAGAAGAAGAAUGGUCCAUUUCCUUCCCCUCCAGCAUCCAGAAUCAAUGAAGAUCAAGGGAAAAUAAUAUUUGCACACAUGAAAACCAAGAGUUCUUCCAGAUAUAUUCAUUUGUCCUCUGAUCAUCGGCCGGUAAGGGGUUCCAAUGGAAGGCAAUUUCUUGCCCACCUGAGCUCUCCCAGGGAGGAUCAGGGGAGCUUGAUCCUCAAAGCUCAAAAGAAUAGAAAGAGGACUUCACCAGCUCAAAACAGCAAGGACCAGGCCCGUAGGGCUGUUUCAUACAUUACAUAAAGGCAAAUCUGGGUUUGCUACUGAGGGCACACUCGCCAGGUAGUCGCUGCCAAUCACAGUUCCUUGACAAGAGCACUCAGAUGACACACAGAUUCAAAACAUGCUAUGAACGCCAUACUACAGUCGCUCGUGUCAGCGUACACCUAAAAAUGUGAUCAUCUUAGGGGCAAACCUAAAAAUGUAUGGAGACAAGCAACCAAGAAGAGGAGCACCUGCUAUUAGGGAGACCCCUUUGGCCAAUUUGUUGAAGCAACCAAAACAUUACAUACUUACGCUCCAAAGCAGGCUUGCUCUUUCUUAUUUGCACAGGGCUCAAGUAAAUGCAUGAAAAAAUAAAUAAAAUGGCGGCAAUGCAGCCUGGUAUUUUCAGAAAUCCGAAUCUGGUUGAUACGGUAUGAUAAGAGGCUUCCUCGCUUGUCUCUUCUCCCUCUCUGCCAGCACAGAGAUGGCAAAACAGGUGAAGUUGUCACAACUGCCUGAUACACACAGCUCCAGCGCUGGCAUGGCUGCUUGAUAUGGUGAUGAUAUCCUAGCUGCUUCCCUCGGGGAAGAGACUCUUUCUUUUUCAUUUCUUUUAAGUCGUCUCUGGUGUUGAAUUCCCAGGCUGCCUAAGACAGUUCCUGCUCUUAUUGAAAACAAACAGCAUUGAUGGGGCGAACGUGGUGUGGAAAGCAAAGCUGUGAAGAGGAAGAACUUGUGUGCGCGAGAGACAGAGAGAGGGCGUGCAUGCGCCAAGUGUUGUUUCCUUAUUUACAACAUUCAGACUAGCUUGCAGGUUUGGAAGAAAAGAGUGAGAUUUUGAAAAACUGGGAUGAUCUAACCAACCCCAGUGAAAUCUAAGCAAAGUCAAGGGUUGCCAACUCCUUUCCCCAGCAGGACCCUGCCCUGAGAUUCAAGCCUGCUCCAAAAGUAAGCCUCUUAUCUUGAAAGACCUACCAUGUAAUCCCAGAUAUGUGAAAGAGGCCUAUUUCAGAUUACCCAGUAGGAAGGGGCAUUGCACAUGCUCAGAAGUUAUUUGGACUAAUCCACAUACUCUUAAAGUUUAACCCUAGCAAAAAGGUUCGGGGAGCUGAGAUUCGAUUAACUAACUCGACACAAAGUCUUGCUCUCAUGUCUUUGAACAGCUGCAUGACAGGAGAAGCGCUACAGAUAAAUUAAUCCCCACACUGCCAGUCAUGAAGUCACAGUGAUUGGGAAGUUUGCUCCUGCAGUAUUUCUCUGCUCUCUGUUAGGAAAGGAGUUGGCAACCCAAAGGAGAAACAGGAAGUCUUUAAUUCUGCACCCAAGUCCACUUGACAAGGUGAACCCUACAGGGACGGCAAGAGUUUCUCCUACGGACGUCAUUUGGGAUGACGUAUCUUCUGCUUCUGCUACCCUAGAAGAAGAAAAAAUGCUCUCCAAUUACUUUUUAACUCCCCUUAAGAAAAUGGAGAGGUUUCUCUUCCAUUGGCGAAUAAGUACGUCUUUUGUCCCAUGGGGAAGUUUUUCUUUCAAAACUGGGCAGAGCUAGACAACCUGGAGAGAGAAAAUUGUUCUUAAAAAGAGAGUUGAAAGUGGCAUGGUUGACUUAUCGUUUUCCAUGGCACUGACACUCAUUCCUUUGUCUUCAGUCGAUGCAAUACAUUUUUGAGAAGUUGGUUUUUGAGCAGUUCUUGACAGCCAAAACCUACAAAAACCUGUGAUCAGACACAACGCUGGGAAUGAGGAUCAAUCAUGGGCCACCAUUUGUCUGCCAUUCUACCUUCAGCCCUCUGGAGACAAAACAAAGCCCUAUCAUCCGUCUCCAAGGCUGUCGUCAAAGGUGUCAAGGAGGACAAGCAAUCAUCAACCAUAAGCCUUGUUAUCAACACAGCAAGCACACACACACACACAAAAUUGUCCGUCCGUCCCCCCCGCAGUUCUACAGUAUUCAAUAGUGUCUGGUGUGGAGGGGCAACAUCAUUGCUGCUUCCCUGGAUGGGGGAAACCAGGUUGGCAGGGAGAGGCGGGGGCUGUGCAAGGAAUACAGGCAGAGCCAACACCGCUCCCCCUGGCAUGUCUGCACAGACUUGGUCCUGCUGCCACCACUGUGCCAUCCAUUAAAACACCCCAUCCUGGUCACUCCUGUGUCCAAAUAGAUGGGCAAUUCUUCCCCUUCGCAUUCAUUUUGGGAUGCUGCCCUGCCUAGUCAAGUUAGCAAAAAUUUGCUUCCCGGAUUCAAAAGAUGUAUUUACAUGUUAUUUAAACAUGCACAACUGGGAAAUUCAGUCCCAGACACACAGGCAGAAGGGGGGAGGAGGCAACAACAGUGGAGGAGCCCUCAAAGAGGGGCUUUCCAGAAACCAAAGCUUGAGUAAGUCACUGAUGCUGAGGUUGCAGGUUCAAUCCCUAUAUAGGACAGAUGCAUACUCUUGCAUUGCAGGGGGUUGGGCCACAUGUUCCUCAGGGUCCCUUCCAACUCUACAAUUCUGUGACUCUGUGUAUUAACAAGAUGCAAAUGGAUCUCUUUGCAGCAGAAAGGGAAGGGGGGAGGGUACAACAAUGCAAAGUCUAAGGAGGAAGAGGAGGAAUUUCCCAAAGGACAUGGACUGCGAAGGCCACUCCCUCCUGGCAGUGACAAGUUCCAAGUCUCGCUCGGUCAUAAUCUAUUAUUCUCUCUGCAGAAAAGUAGAAGAAAUAGUGGAAUAAAGGAGGGGUGUGAAGCGUGCGGGUGUGUAUAUAGACAGAGACAAAUAGAGAGGGAAAAGCCUAGGCAAGAAGGAAGGUUAAGAGAGGUCGACACAGCAAGGCUUGUUUAUUAUCACAGCUGGGCUACACAAGUGUUCUCUGUUAUGGUGCCACCGCAAGCAUGUGGCCGGGCUCACUGGGAGGUUUAGCUCACGUUAAAAAAAAUAAAAAUCCCACAGUUAUUCAUAUUUUUGUGUGUGUAUUUGAAGGAUAUGGAGCCGCACAGAAAGCCUAGAUGGCUCUACCGGAAGCACAGUUUUUGCGUAAGCUCUGGAAUGCUCAAUGUAAUAAGCCAAGCUGGCCCUCCCUCAUUCUCCAAGCACGCACACACACAAACACCCGCCAUCUGCUCACACUGCGUGAGGGCACCCGUGGCCGCAACACCCAUGCACUCGCAACACACUCACACACAGAAUCUCACACCUGCAGGAACCCAGGCCCACAAAGCAGUGGGUGCGUCCAAAUGCAGCAGCAGUGGGACGCCUGUCUCUUUCAAAGGAGAAUUUAAAGUUUGCCAUGGGUGCACCCUACCCAGGCGAAAAGCCUACAGUUCCCCUGACCUGGAAAAGAAUGUAGAAAAGAGCAUCUUUACCUAGAAACAAAGCAGCCAAUAGCAACGCCACACUGCAACCCAAAUCAUUCGGAAGCAGACCUCCUGGGGUGGCUGUUUUGCUGUUGGCGGAUGAUGGGUCCCCCUUUCUCGUCAUGGGAACUUUGUUCCUAGCUACGGAUGCCUUUUUGCCGUCGGUUACCCUAGCCUGCCCCACAAAUUUGCAUUCCACAAUCAAUAAUGUUAUUUCUCCUUUUUU